UUUUUUUUUUUAAGUUGUAAAUCUAGAAUUUGGGAGUAUCUAUAGAAAAAAUGGUAGAAUUUGCGUAACAUAUCAUACUUUUUAACCUGGUAAAGUAGAGAGGCUCAACAACUUCUUCAAAUUGAAACAUAUAUAUCUAAGCUUUCAAUAAGCCCUAGUCCACUACCUCCAACUCAAAACCAUCCUUUAAAAUAUAAUCAUUUAUCACACUCUUUUUAGACCAUAUAUAUAUAUAUAUAAUUGUUAAGCGUUCUCUUCUGUUUUUCUUUUGUGUUGGCAUAUAUAGAGUUAUAUAUAUAUGUCUCAGCUCUCUCCCUACUAUAGUCUUCUUAUCUUGACUUUUAAGAGUCGUUGAAUCCAAAACUCGUAUUAUUUAUAAAGUCAUAAGUCUUUCAUAUUAUAUUGUGGUCCAG
rnacentral:lncRNA from 1 species